UGGCACACUCUCGCCUUGGCAUUCCAAACUCCUGGUGUGGUGUAUGGUGAUGUGGGUACGAGCCCUCUAUAUGUCUUCACUGACGUGUUUAGCAAGGUGCCUAUAACAUCAGAAAUCGAUGUUCUGGUGGCAUUGUCUGUUAUACUGUAUACAAUAACUCUUGUACCCUUAGCGAAAUAUGUAUUUGUAGUGCUUAAAGCUAAUGACAAUGGUGAAGGAGGGACAUUGGCACUAUAUUCACUUAUAAGCAGAGGGCAGUUGGAAGCUGAGACUUGAGCUUCUUACGGAUUUGAAAGCCUGUAGAAAUAGGGAUUGGCUAUCAGGUACAUGUCACACUUACCAAGUUAUUUAGAGAAAGGAAAGAAAUUUCAGGAGAAAGGACUGAAUGUUGGUGUUCUUGACUCGAGGUGCCUUGAGAACUGGCGGUAUAGUCAAAAACAGAUAUGAUGUUACAGUAUUAAGGGCCCUCAAUCCAUCUUAUAUCUACCUUUUCUUUAGGAAGAAUGGUAUCCAAGCAUGGUCAGGUCUUGGUGGCUGUGUUUUGUGCAUCACAGGUAAUUUAAAUAGUAUUUUUGGUUGUGAUUGCCAUGAAGUUAGCAACAGAUAUCAUUUCUACUUGACUUCUUUAAUAAGUCAAAUUGUUGUCGUUCUUUGUACCAUCAUUCCUUCAAUCGAUCACUGCUGCAUAAUUAGUAUGAUAC